UCAGGUUAUUCACAUAUGCUUUUUUCAACAGUGCCCUGUCCAGAAAGAGAGCGAUGGUCUCCCUCUGAAUUGAUUCAGACCUCGUUCUUCCCGCUUGCCUCAUUCAUCUAAGGCUGUAGACUGCUCCUGAAGCAAAAAUGAUUCAGCAACUUCUCUUAACAACGAUGAAAAGGCAUGACCUUUUGGAUCAUAACCUUUUGGAAAAAUGAUGCCAUAACCUGUUGGGAAAUGGAAAUCUCCAUAACGUUUUGGAAAAUGGCAUUCACCACCAUUUUGGGAAAAUCAGGAAUCUCCCUGAGAAGAGUUAAAAACUCACUUGAGUCAGCUUUCUCCUUGGAGGGGACUCAAGGCGGCUUAAAGACUCGAGCAAGAUUCAAUAAUCACCACUUCAUUCUUUGUGGUGAAUGUGGAAGUGAAGAUGAAGGCUAAAACUGGAUCCUGUGCAAGAAGAAAGCUGAGAUAUUGACUCAAUCAAUCAAUCAAUCAAUCUCAAACAGAUAUACUGGAGGGGACACCAUUUUCUGGGACUGGCCAAAUUUAGACUGUGUGAUGGACAUGAGUCAAUUGCAUCCUUGAAAUAUCACUUCUGAUGAGAAUAACCCUUUGGUGAGCAACAGAGCAUGGGGAAUUUUUUUUAAUGACAGUUUUCCAAAUUUCCUAGCCAGUAUAGUUAAUCCCAGCUGGAUGGGAGGUUUUAGGGGUUAUUAAAAAAAACUUCACCAAGAUCUAGCUGGAAUUCAGAAGUGACCUAACUUGACAUUACUCCCUGUUCUACCCCUCAUCCUAUUUAGAAAUGGCUGUGAGUACAACUGAAGGCCAUCCAGCGCAUCUGCUUGAUACAACUCUACUUCAGCAUUCUACCCUCUUUCGAUUCCUUGCCACAUUUCUCAAGCAGUAUCACUUUGGCAGAAAUCUGGUGCAUUUUAGGUAACUUGUUCUUUCCUUCCAGUAACUCUAUAUCAUCCAAGAUCUAACACUGCUACAUGGAACCGUCUCCUGACUCCCCAUUCCCAGGCAAUAUCUGUUCAAAGUCAGCCGCCUGUGAGAUUUGCUUGGUUCUGCAAGUGUUUUAGUUACAUUGAGAGCUAUGAGGUUGUAUAAACUCUAGGCCUAUGGCUAGAAACUUCCUUAUUCAAAUCAAUAAGUCUGGCCAUGUUUAUGCUUCAUUUGUUGUAUAUACUUACUUGUAUUACCUAUGCACAUGUGCAUUGGAUGCUGGGUAUUGUUAUGCUUUAAUCAUGCUGGUAUUUGCUUGCAUUUGGGGGGAGGUGCAAUUGGAGAAUCUCUCAUUAGCUCAGAACUGUUCAUUUAAGCCUGGUAGAUUCAUAGCUACAGCUGCUAAAGGAAGUAGUAUUUUGCCAAAAUAGUUCCAGUGUUAUUUCCAUGAGAGAUCUUGUCUGUGAAAGGAUAUUUGGAGUGUUGUUGAAGGGUGGUUGUAUGUUUUCCGGGCUGUAUGGCCAUGUUCCAGAAGUAUUAUCUCCUGACGUUUCGCCCACAUCUAUGGCAGGCAUCCUCACCUCACAGCCUCUGAGGAUGCCUGCCACAGAUGUGGGCGAAACGUCAGGAGAGAAUACUUCUGGAACAUGGCCAUACAGCCCAGAAAACAUACAACCACCCUGAUAUUUGGAGUGUUUUAUGAUUCAAUGGAGGACCUGCCCCACUCUCUGAGUUGUAUAUUGACAAUUGGGACAAAAACCCAUAGAACAUUUUAAUUGUUUUAUUUAUAAAAUGUAUUGUGUGGUUCUUCAUUCCUUAGAUCUAACGAUACCAAUUUUAUGGUGAUCUAUUUUGUUAUUUUAAAUAAAGUUUCUACACUUUGAGAACUUUGUUUGCUGAACUGAAGUUUUCCUGUAUAUGAGACUAAAGCUAUUUCAUUGAGUUUUGAAUUACAAAACCCAAAGACUUAAUUUCAAAUAAUUAUAACUUUUGGGAGAGUAAUCACUUUUACAUUUCCAAGCUCUGUUGCUGUGUUUGCUAAACCUUUAGUGCUUCUCACAUCUUUCUAUUACUGGCCUCAUUUCUUUUUAAAAUUAUUUUAUUCAAAAUAUUUUAAACAUUUAGAUAAAAAUAUAGACAUAUAGGGAAGGUAUAGGACGGGGAGGGGAGGAGGUCCUUGGGGAUAGGAGUAGGGAAAAGGGGUAAAGAAAAGGGGAAGUUUGUUGACUUCUGAUUUCCUUCAUGGUGGUUUGUUUAAUCUUUGUCUCUACUCCUUUGUUUCUUCUUUCUUUGCUUCUCCUUUUCUUCAAGUCUUUCCAGGAUAAAUAUUUCUUGAAUUCUAUAGGAUCAGUCUAAAUUUUAAACUAUGUUUUUCUUCAGUAGUCUUUAAAUAGUUUUCAGUCUGUGCUUUUUUGGUUUAAUUUCCCUUCAUGUUUCAACAAUAAUUGUGUUAAUUUAUCCAUAUUCAUAAUUUCUAGGAUUUUUACCUUCCAUUGGUGUGUUGAAGGGAUAUUCUUAUCUCUCCAACAUCUCAUGUAGACUAUUCUUGCUACUGUGGUCAAACAAUUAAAAAGUCUGUCCUUGUUCUCUUCUAUAUUUAUGUCUAAUAGUCCUGAUAGGAAGUAUUCUGGUUUCAAUUCUAUUUUAAUUUUCAAAAUCUUUGAAAUCAAUUCAUGAAUCCACUUCCAAUACACUUUUGCCUUGCUGCAUGUCCACCACACAUGGUAGAACACGUCAUCCUGUAAUUCACACUUCCAGUAUUUGUUUUGGAUAUUUUUAUUCAUUUUUCCCAGGAUCUGUGGUGUUAUGUACCAUUGGUACAUCAUUUUGUACCAGUUUCCCUUAAGUCAUAGGUACAUGUAAACUUCAAUUUGUGAUUCCACAUAUGUUCCCAUUCCUCCAUCUUUAUUGGUUGUCUAAUGUAAGUAGCCCAUUUGUUCAUACAUUCUUUAACCUGGUCUGUUUCCGAGUUCCAUUUCGGUAGUUUCUUAUAAAUUUUCGUAACCAAUUUCUUCUUUGUUCUCAUUUCCUUAGGUGGCUGUUCACUUUUGGAUCCAUGUCCUUCUUUCUCUUCUAUGCUGUGCUGUAUAGUCACAGGGAAUUUCCAUUACCCUCUGUGACACAAUUUUUGUCCUGCUUAUAGCUUUCAGCCAGGAUGCCCACUGUCCCUUUACUUCCUCCUCAGUAAGAAUGUGUGACCUGAUUUAUUGUUUUGAAUUUAUGCUGUGUUGCACUUCACAUUUCUAUCUUUCCCAGUGCCUUUAAAUUAAGCUCUCAUUUUCCACUGAAGAAGCCAUAUCAUUUGUGAGUCUCCUGACAGUUGCUCUGGGGCCUUUAGACAUGUUGGUACCCUUUGGUUUAACCUAUUCCUUUCCCUUAUUGUUUUGGGCAGAUAUCAUGUGUUCUUGCCUGUGUGUGGGCAAGUAUAACAUUUCCAACAAAUGUAUUCUAUUCUGCACUCUCCUUGAAUCACUUUGGGGAAAAUUGAUAGGCACCGAAGGCUUUGUUCCUCUAAACAUUACCACCCCAUUUUCUGUCUGCGGCUGUUCUCACAAUCCCGACUCCGCCCCACAAUGACUCAGGCUUUCUAUCCAGAGUGUCAAAGGAAAACCCAGUAAAAGAGAUUCUUCCCCUGUCCUCUUCUGUUUCAGACUCCUUUCCUUUCUUUUGAAGAAGAGUUGAAAGCAAUGAUCAGAGGCAAGGUAAAAACAGAAUAGCUGAGACUAGGACAGAAGGAAAAGGAGCCAAUUGAUUUGCUGGUUUAUAGAGGGUGGGUUGUUUCAAAGUGCUGCAAUAGAUGCAGAGAAUUGGAUUUGUUUUUACUCAGGGGAAUGCUACAGGAAGAAGCUGUUAUUUUCUGCUUUUCUUUCUGCAUGCCUGAAUCCAAAUGUCACAAUUUUGAAUCCAUCCAGCUCCAAUAUUGUAAAGAGGAGCCUACUUUCAUUAAUGGUAUAAUUUAUCUCUAGGUAAUUAUGCUGAAAUAAAAAGUUUGCUAAUGUCUAGUAACCUAUGGAUGCGAGAGCUGGACCAUAAGGAAGGCUGAGUGAAGGAAGAUAGAUGCUUUUGAACUUUGGGGCUGGAGGAAAAUCCUGAGAGUGCCUUGGACCACAAGAAGAUCCAACCAAGUCCAUCCUCCAGGAAAUAAUGGCCGGCUGCUCACUGGAGGGAAGGAUAUUAGAGGCAAAGCUGGAGUAUUUUGGCCACAUCAUGAGGAGACAGGAAAGCUUGGAAAAGAUCACGAUGCUGGGGAAAAUGGAAGGAAAAAGGAAGAGAGGCCGACCAAGAGCAAGAUGGAUGGAUGGUAUCCUUGAAGUGACUGGCUUGACCUUGAAGGAACUGGGGGCGGUGACGGCCGACAGGGAGCUCUGGCGUGGACUGGUCCAUGAAGUCACAAAGAGUCGGAGACGACUAAACGACUGAGCAGCAGCAGCAAAGUCUAGUAUGGCUUGUGAAAGAGAGAAAACAAGUUCAACAGGGAUUUGUAACAAACUGUAGCAGUAUGGUAUGGCCCUGUGGAGGAUGUUACUCUCUAUGUGGGAGGUGAAAUUGCUCCAGGGUUUGGAUAGCUUCAAAGGACCACUCCAGGGCACUGAGCCUAUUUUGCAGGCAUUUUCAGCACUUUUUCAUCAAGCCAAUGAAAAAGAGAUUAAUAAUAAUAAUAACUUUAUUUUUAUAUCCCACUCCCAUCUCCCCAAGGGUAUUCAGGGUGGCUCACAUGGAAACAAGCCCAGCAUCAUCAUACAUUAAAACACAGUCGUAAUUUAUAAUUUAAAAUAAUAUAAAACAUUACACAGUAUAAAAUAGCAUAAACAUAUCCGGUCCUUCAAACCUAGAGCAUAGUCCAAAUAUGUAAGUUUGAGCUUGUGCAGACUCUACAUGAGACUUGAGGAUAAUAAUAUAGGGUGAUCAGGGAAGAUUACAAGACUAAAAUCAACAAAAGUGAGGGAAAUUGAUAAAAUGCAAUAAUUGUGACAAGUUAAUAUCUAACUGGAAGUAUUCAUUCAAAGGCGCAUCGAUACAGCCAUGUUUUAAGGUCCUUAUGAAAGGUGGACAGGGAAGGUGCCAAUCUGAUCUCCCUGGGGAGGGAGUUCCAGAGGCAAGGGGCCACCACUGAGAAGGCCCUCUCCCUCAUCCCCACCAGUCAUGCUUGGAACAGAGGUGGGAGUGAGAGAAGGGCCUCCCCGUAGGAUCUCAAGGUCCGUGUGGGUUCAUAGAGGAGGAGGCGAUCACGGAGAUAAGCAGGCCCUGAACCAUUUGUAAUUUUGAACCAAUCAGUAGGCUUGUGCAUAGAUGUGGAUUGGUCGAUUCCCUUUGGCCAAUCUGGAUUGUUUGGAUGGCCGAAAUGGCAAGGGCUCAGCCUCCCUGUUUUUUGGCCACAACAGAACAUUGGCUGUCGAACACCGGCUGCCUUUAAUUACAAGUGGAGUGCAGGGGUGAGGCAGCUGCUAGAAACAAUAGUGCAAGCAGAGCCAGCCCUAGGUAUUUUUCAAGUGUAGGCGAACAAAAUUUUGCCCCCCCCCCCCAAACCAAUCACUGAAAAAUAAAAGCGUUGGAUAAGUGAAGAUGUUGGAUAAUAAGGAGGGAUGAAGGAAAAGCCUAUUAAACAUCAAAUUACAUUAAGAUUUUACAAAUUAAGCACCAAAACAUCAUGUUUUACAACAAGUCAACAGAAAAAGCAGUCUUGACUGCGCCCCCAUAUGUUUUGCGCCCCAAGUGACAGCUUAAUUCACCUCAUUGUUGGACUGGCUCUGAGUGCGAGGGAGGAAAAGGCACCACUCCAGGGUCUGCAAAUCAAGAGAAAAGAAAGGGAUUUUUAAAGGAAGCCCUAGGUAGGAUAGCUCCAAGUCGAUCGCUCUUCAUUUCCUGGGACAUGGGGAAGUAUUAUUAUUAUAAGGGAAGCCUCUUUAAAAUGCCUUGGAAAGCUGCGUGCUGCAGGGAGAGAGUGCUGUGUGCGCCUGCAGCACCUGUCUAGAGUAGAAACAGCUUUAACUAACAGUAAGCAGCAUUAAACCCAAAGCAGAAAGGAGAUUGAAGUGUGAGGUGGAAAACGGCACCACUCCAGGGUUUGCAAAUCAAGAGAAAAGAGAGGGGUUUUUAAAGGAAACCCAGGGAAGGAUAGCUAAAGGUCAAUCACUCUUCCUUCCCUGAGAAGUGGGGAAGCCUCCUUAAAAUGCCUUGGAAAGCUGUGUGCUGAAGGGAGAGAGCACUGUGCGCACCUGAGGCACCUGUCUCCUCUAAACAGCUUUAACUAAGUAUUAAACCUGGUCUCCUCUACAGAUAGAAGGGACUGGAUCACAGAAAGAGUGGUAUCUGAUGCUUUUAAUCCAGGUCUUAAUGAAGGAUAGAAGGACAAAUGAUACCUAAAAUGAUGGUAAGGGGAGCAUGGGGAGCAUGGGAAGUCCGUGUCCCCCCCCCCCCCCGGGUAAUGGGCUGGAUAGAAAACAAAUAUUCCGGCUUCCCAACCAAAAAUGGCUUUCUGUCCUCCUGAAUUUUGGAGGCUCCCUAAAAAUGGAUUGGGACCCCCACCAAAAUCUGGAGCAUUGAAACAGAUCACAGUUUACUGGGAUUGCACAAGCCUAUCAAUCAGAACGUCCAUUGUUUUUGAAGACCAUAAAAUACUGCUAGCCACAAAUCGAAAGGCAUGUCUGAUUUGGGGCUCUCUCUCCUGCCAUCUUUCCUUGAUGAAGAAGCAAUAAAUCAAUCUCUGAUCCCA